rnacentral:rRNA from 1 species
GGGGAAUAUUGCGCAAUGGGCGAAAGCCUGACGCAGCGACGCCGCGUGAGGGACGACGGCCUUCGGGUUGUAAACCUCUUUCAGCAGGGAUGAAGCGAAAGUGACAGUACCUGCAGAAGAAGCACCGGCUAACUACGUGCCAGCAGCCGCGGUAAUACGUAGGGUGCAAGCGUUGUCCGGAAUUAUUGGGCGUAAAGAGCUCGUAGGCGGCUUGUCACGUCGGAUGUGAAAAUCCAGGGCUCAACCCUGGACCUGCAUUCGAUACGGGCAGGCUAGAAUUCGGUAGGGGAGACUGGAAUUCCUGGUGUAGCGGUGAAAUGCGCAGAUAUCAGGAGGAACACCGGUGGCGAAGGCGGGUCUCUGGGCCGAUAUUGACGCUGAGGAGCGAAAGCGUGGGGAGCGAACA